rnacentral:lncRNA from 10 species
CUUGCAGUCUGCUGAGGGGAACAUCCAAAACUAUCUGAAGCCCCGGGCUGAACCAGGCUCUGCAGACAUUGGUGGUGUCCUAGAAGGCUCUUGCUGAGGUCUUAUGUCUGAAAAGAAACCCUCGGAAACCCACUUGAGUCUGUCUUGCAUUUCACAUGAAACAAGGCUUCAUUCUGCAAAAAUAUCUGGGACCUUCAAAUUCACAAGUGGAUUUUCUGCUCAGGGGAGAGCUACCAAUCGGUUGAAAGGUAUGUUACAGCUCUAAGAAGCUGCAUCCAUUUCCUGUAGGAUCCAUAGUUUCUGGUUCUGGUUCCAGGGAACUCCUUCAAAUGAACUGGUCGCCAUAUGAAUUGAUGCUACACUUUGAGCGUUGCCGCAGUCAGGUGAAUUCAAGCUACAGAGAAGAGGCGAUUCACAUUUUUUCCUUCUGUCUUGUAUUAUUCCUCCGGCUCAAGAACCUGCCAGAGAUGGAAUCUCCCUAUGUUCCCCAGGCUGAUCUUGAAUUUCUGAGCUCAAGCGAUCCUCCUGCCUUGGCCUCCCAAAGUGCCAGGAUUAUAGGCGUGAGCCACCAUGCCUGGCCAGAGAGCAUUUUAGUAAGGAUAAAAAGUUUUAUUGGCCUCAGGCUGAAGUUUGCAAUUAUAUUCCAAAUACCCAAAGUGGGUAUAUUAUUGACGUUGUCCUGAGAGAGGGACAGACAGUUUGACUGUGUUGCUUUCUUUGGAGUCAGUUUUGGGGCUGUUAAGGAUUACCUGGAAACAUUAGAUGAAGCUGGGGCUGGACACUUCUUCUCAGGACAGAAGCACAUUCAUCUAAAUGGAAAUCUAAGGUUGGGAGGAUGCGAAGUGCCAUUUCAUCGUGUCCUAUCCGGAAUGCAUACUCUCAGCAUAACAGCACCAGUGCCAUACCUAGAGAGGCCUUUCCGAGUUACCCUAACACAAAAAGGUGUUUCCAGUCAUUCUCACAUCAGCCUUUUAGUUAUUUUUUCAGUACUUAUCACAACUGGGGAUUGUUGUCUUGUUGGACUGUUUGUCUGUUCCUCUAACUGGACUGUAAGCUUUAGGAGGGCAGAACUGUGUUUAUCUUGUUCACCUGUUUGUUCCCAGCACCUAGUACCCUGCCUGGCACAUAGCUG